AACGAACGCUGGCGGCAUGCCUAACACAUGCAAGUCGAACGAGACCUUCUGGUCUAGUGGCGCACGGGUGCGUAACGCGUGGGAACCUGCCCUUAGGUUCGGAAUAACUCCCCGAAAGGGGUUCUAAUACCGGAUAAUGUCUUCGGACCAAAGAUUUAUCGCCUUUGGAUGGGCCCGCGUUGGAUUAGCUAGUUGGUAGGGUAAAAGCCUACCAAGGCGACGAUCCAUAGCUGGUCUGAGAGGAUGAUCAGCCACACUGGGACUGAGACACGGCCCAGACUCCUACGGGAGGCAGCAGUGGGGAAUAUUGGACAAUGGGCGAAAGCCUGAUCCAGCAAUGCCGCGUGAGUGAUGAAGGCCUUAGGGUUGUAAAGCUCUUUUACCCGGGAUGAUAAUGACAGUACCGGGAGAUUAAGCUCCGGCUAACUCCGUG
rnacentral:rRNA from 1 species